rnacentral:rRNA from 1 species
GGGCACGUGAAAUCCUGUGUGAAUCCGCGAGGACCACCUCGUAAGGCUAAAUACUACUGAAUGACCGAUAGUGAAGCAGUACCGUGAGGGAAAGGUGAAAAGAACCCCGGGAGGGAAGUGAAAAAGAACAUGAAACCCUAAGCUUACAAGCAGUAGAAGGACGACUUUAAACGUUUGCCUGCGUGCCUGUUGAAGAAUGAGCCGGCGACUUGUAGUUAGUGGCAGGUUAAGGUAUUUCGUACUGGAGCCACAGUGAAAGCGAGCCUGAAGAGGGCGUUUGUCACUAAUUACGGACCCGAACCCGAGUGAUCUAUCCAUGACCAGGAUGAAGCUUAGGUAACACUAAGUGGAGGUCCGAACCGACUGAUGUUGAAAA